GCUCGUGUCGUGAGAUGUUGGGUUAAGUCCCGCAACGAGCGCAACCCUUGAUCUCAGUUGCCAGCAUGUAAUGGUGGGCACUCUAAGAUGACUGCCGGUGACAAACCGGAGGAAGGUGGGGAUGACGUCAAAUCAUCAUGCCCCUUAUGACCUGGGCUACACACGUACUACAAUGGUCGGUACAACGGGAAGCGAAGCCGCGAGGUGGAGCCAAUCCUUAUAAGCCGAUCUCAGUUCGGAUUGCAGGCUGCAACUCGCCUGCAUGAAGUCGGAAUUGCUAGUAAUCGCGGAUCAGCAUGCCGCGGUGAAUACGUUCCCGGGUCUUGUACACACCGCCCGUCACACCACGAGAGUUUACAACACCCGAAGUCGGUGGGGUAACCCGCAAGGGAGCCAGCCGCCGAAGGUGGGGUAGAUGAUUGGGGUGAAGUCGUAACAAGGUAG
rnacentral:rRNA from 1 species